rnacentral:rRNA from 1 species
GACGAAGGAUGCAAGCGUUAUCCGGAAUCAUUGGGUUUAAAGGGUGCGUAGGCGGUCUUAUAAGUCAGUGGUGAAAUCUCUCAGCUUAACUGAGAAACUGCCAUUGAUACUGUAGGACUUGAGUACAGAUGAUGUUGGCGGAAUAUGACAUGUAGCGGUGAAAUGCAUAGAUAUGUCAUAGAACACCGAUUGCGAAGGCAGCUGACAAAACUGUAACUGACGCUGAGGCACGAAAGUGUGGGGAUCAAACAGG